rnacentral:rRNA from 1 species
CGGAGGGUGCAAGCGUUAUCCGGAUUCACUGGGUUUAAAGGGUGCGUAGGCGGGUUGAUAAGUCCGUGGUGAAAUCUCCGAGCUUAACUCGGAAACUGCCGUGGAUACUAUUGAUCUUGAAUAUCGUGGAGGUAAGCGGAAUAUGUCAUGUAGCGGUGAAAUGCUUAGAUAUGACAUAGAACACCAAUUGCGUAGGCAGCUUACUACACGAUCAUUGACGCUGAGGCACGAAAGCGUGGGGAGCAAACAGGAUUAGAUACCCUGGUAGUCCACGCCCUAAACGAUGGAUACUCGACAUCAGCGAUACACUGUUGGUGUCUGAGCGAAAGCAUUAAGUAUCCCACCUGGGAAGUACGAUCGCAAGAUUG